UACAGAGGUGGCAAGCGUUGUUCGGAAUUACUGGGCGUAAAGGGUGCGUAGGCGGGUCUUUAAGUCAGGGGUGAAAUCCUGGAGCUCAACUCCAGAACUGCCUUUGAUACUGAAGAUCUUGAGUUCGGGAGAGGUGAGUGGAACUGCGAGUGUAGAGGUGAAAUUCGUAGAUAUUCGCAAGAACACCAGUGGCGAAGGCGGCUCACUGGCCCGAUACUGACGCUGAGGCACGAAAGCGUGGGGAGCAAACAGG
rnacentral:rRNA from 1 species